rnacentral:rRNA from 1 species
UCGCUACUCUACCUAUUGAAUGAUUUAGUGAGGUCUUAAGACCGAUACCCUGAGCGGCCUUUCGGUUGCGCCGGUGUGUUGGAAAAAUGACCAAACUUGACCAUUUAGAGGAAGUAAAAGU